AUUGAACGCUGGCGGCAUGCUUUACACAUGCAAGUCGAACGGUAACAGGCCGCAAGGUGCUGACGAGUGGCGAACGGGUGAGUAAUGCAUCGGAACGUGCCCAGUCGUGGGGGAUAACGCAGCGAAAGCUGUGCUAAUACCGCAUACGAUCUAUGGAUGAAAGCGGGGGACCGUAAGGCCUCUCGCGAUAGGAUCGGCCGAUGUCAGAUUAGGUAGUUGGUGGGGUAAAGGCUCACCAAGCCAACGAUCUGUAGCUGGUCUGAGAGGACGACCAGCCACACUGGGACUGAGACACGGCCCAGACUCCUACGGGAGGCAGCAGUGGGGAAUUUUGGACAAUGGGCGCAAGCCUGAUCCAGCAAUGCCGCGUGCAGGAAGAAGGCCUUCGGGUUGUAAACUGCUUUUGUACGGAACGAAACGGCGAGCUCUAAUACAGUUUGCUAAUGACGGUACCGUAAGAAUAAGCACCGGCUAACUACGUGCCAGCCGCCGCGGUAA
rnacentral:rRNA from 1 species